UACGUAGGGUCCGAGCGUUGUCCGGAAUUACUGGGCGUAAAGAGCUCGUAGGUGGCUUGUCGCGUCGGUUGUGAAAGCCCACAGCUUAACUGUGGGUCUGCAUUCGAUACGGGCAGGCUAGAGGUAGGUAGGGGAGAACGGAAUUCCUGGUGUAGCGGUGAAAUGCGCAGAUAUCAGGAGGAACACCGGUGGCGAAGGCGGUUCUCUGGGCCUUACCUGACGCUGAGGAGCGAAAGCGUGGGGAGCGAACAGG
rnacentral:rRNA from 1 species